rnacentral:rRNA from 1 species
CCUACGGGUGGCAGCAGUGGGGAAUAUUGGACAAUGGGCGAAAGCCUGAUCCAGCCAUGCCGCGUGUGUGAAGAAGGCCUUCGGGUUGUAAAGCACUUUCAGUGGGGAAGAAAGCCUUGGGGCUAAUACCCUCGAGGAAGGACAUCACCCACAGAAGAAGCACCGGCUAACUCCGUGCCAGCAGCCGCGGUAAUACGGAGGGUGCGAGCGUUAAUCGGAAUUACUGGGCGUAAAGCGCGCGUAGGCGGUCUGAUAAGCCGGUUGUGAAAGCCCCGGGCUCAACCUGGGAACGGCAUCCGGAACUGUCAGGCUAGAGUGCAGGAGAGGAAGGUAGAAUUCCCGGUGUAGCGGUGAAAUGCGUAGAGAUCGGGAGGAAUACCAGUGGCGAAGGCGGCCUUCUGGACUGACACUGACGCUGAGGUGCGAAAGCGUGGGUAGCAAACAGGAUUAGCUACCCCGGUAGUC